GAUGAACGCUAGCGGCAGGCUUAAUACAUGCAAGUCGAGGGGUAGCAAGAUUGUAGCAAUACAAUUGUUGACGACCGGCAAACGGGUGCGGAACACGUACACAACCUUCCUACAAGUGGGGAAUAGCCCAGAGAAAUUUGGAUUAAUACCCCGUAACAUAGCGAUGUGGCAUCACAUUGCUAUUAUAGCUUCGGCGCUUGUUGAUGGGUGUGCGGCUGAUUAGAUAGUUGGCGGGGUAACGGCCCACCAAGUCUACGAUCAGUAGCUGAUGUGAGGGCAGCAUCAGCCACACGGGCACUGAGACACGGGCCCGACUCCUACGGGAGGCAGCAGUAAGGAAUAUUGGAACAUGGACGCAAGUCUGAUCCAGCCAUGCCGCGUGAAGGAUUAAGGUCCUCUGGAUUGUAAACUUCUUUUAUAAGGGACGAAAAAAGGUCUUUCUAGAUCGUCUGACGGUACCUUAUGAAUAAGCACCGGCUAACUCCGUGCCAGCCGCCGCGGUAACAC
rnacentral:rRNA from 1 species